UACGUAGGCAGCGAGCGUUGUUCGGAGUUACUGGGCGUAAAGGGUGUGUAGGCGGUUGUUUAAGUUUGGUGUGAAAUCUCCCGGCUCAACUGGGAGGGUGCGCCGAAUACUGAAUGACUAGAGUGCGGGAGAGGUGAGUGGAAUUCCUGGUGUAGCGGUGAAAUGCGUAGAUAUCAGGAGGAACACCGGUGGUGUAGACGGCUCACUGGACCGUAACUGACGCUGAGACACGAAAGCGUGGGUAGCAAACAGG
rnacentral:rRNA from 1 species